rnacentral:rRNA from 1 species
AGAGUUUGAUCCUGGCUCAGGAUGAACGCUGGCGGCGUGCCUAAUACAUGCAAGUCGAGCGAACUGAUUAGAAGCUUGCUUCUAUGACGUUAGCGGCGGACGGGUGAGUAACACGUGGGCAACCUGCCUGUAAGACUGGGAUAACUUCGGGAAACCGAAGCUAAUACCGGAUAGGAUCUUCUCCUUCAUGGGAGAUGAUUGAAAGAUGGUUUCGGCUAUCACUUACAGAUGGGCCCGCGGUGCAUUAGCUAGUUGGUGAGGUAACGGCUCACCAAGGCAACGAUGCAUAGCCGACCUGAGAGGGUGAUCGGCCACACUGGGACUGAGACACGGCCCAGACUCCUACGGGAGGCAGCAGUAGGGAAUCUUCCGCAAUGGACGAAAGUCUGACGGAGCAACGCCGCGUGAGUGAUGAAGGCUUUCGGGUCGUAAAACUCUGUUGUUAGGGAAGAACAAGUAUGAGAGUAACUGCUCGUACCUUGACGGUACCUAACCAGAAAGCCACGGCUAACUACGUGCCAGCAGCCGCGGUAAUACGUAGGUGGCAAGCGUUAUCCGGAAUUAUUGGGCGUAAAGCGCGCGCAGGCGGUUUCUUAAGUCUGAUGUGAAAGCCCACGGCUC